UUAAGUAGAAAAGAGCGCACGGAGGAUGCCUUGGCACUAGGAGCCGAAGAAGGACGUGACAAACGACGAAACGCUACGGGGAGCUGUAAGUAAGCAAAGAUCCGUAGAUAUCCGAAUGGGGGAACCCACCGCUUUUAAAAGGGCGGUACGCGAAAGCGAGGUAACGCAGGGAACUGAAACAUCUAAGUACCUGUAGGAAGAGAAAGAAAAAUCGAUUUCCUAAGUAGCGGCGAGCGAAAGGGAAAGAGCCCAAACCAAUAUGCUUGCAUAUUGGGGUUGUAGGACUCUCAGAAAAGCGUAUAACAAAGUAUAGUAGAACGAGCUGGAAAGUUAGACCGUAGAAGGUAAAAGUCCUGUAUACGAAAUGCUGAGUUGGCGUGAGAGAGCACCUGAGUACGGCGGAACACGAGGAAUUCCGUCGGAAUCUACCAGGACCAUCUGGUAAGGCUAAAUACUACCUAGUGACCGAUAGUGAACCAGUACCGUGAGGGAAAGGUGAAAAGAACCCCGGGAGGGGAGUGAAAGAGAACCUGAAACCGUGUGCUUACAAGUAGUCAGAGCCCUUUAGGGGGUGAUGGCGUGCCUUUUGUAGAAUGAACCGGCGAGUUACUUUAUCAUGCGAGGUUAAGUGGAAGACAUGGAGCCGAAGCGAAAGCGAGUCUUAAUAGGGCGAAAUAGUAUGAUGGAGUAGACCCGAAACCAAGUGAUCUACCCAUGGCCAGGUUGAAGUUUAGGUAACACUGAAUGGAGGACCGAACCAGGACACGUUGAAAAGUGUUUGGAUGAGCUGUGGGUAGCGGAGAAAUUCCAAUCGAACUUGGAAAUAGCUGGUUCUCUCCGAAAUAGCUUUAGGGCUAGCCUCGUUGUGAGUUUACUGGAGGUAGAGCACUGUUUGGACUAGGGGCCCAUCCCGGGUUACCGAAUUCAGACAAACUCCGAAUGCCAGAUAAAUAUCAACGGGAGUCAGACUGCGGGUGAUAAGGUUCGUAGUCGAAAGGGAAACAGCCCAGACCGCCAGCUAAGGUCCCAAAUUGUAUGUUAAGUGGAAAAGGAUGUGAUGAUGCACAGACAACCAGGAUGUUGGCUUAGAAGCAGCCACCAUUUAAAGAGUGCGUAAUAGCUCACUGGUCGAGUGACAUCGCGCCGAAAAUGUACCGGGGCUAAACAUACAACCGAAGCUGCGGAUAUAACUAAUGUUAUAUGGUAGGAGAGCGUUCUAACAUCAUAGAAGCCGAACUGGAAGGUGAGGUGGAGAGGUUAGAAGUGAGAAUGCCGGUGUGAGUAGCGAAAGAUAGGUGAGAAUCCUAUCCACCGAAAGACUAAGGUUUCCAGAGGAAGGCUCGUCCGCUCUGGGUAAGUCGGGACCUAAGGUGAAGCCGAUAGGUGAAGCCGAUGGACAACAGGUAGAAAUUCCUGUACCACCGAAUAUCGAUUGAGAGAAGUGGGGACAGAGGAGGCUAAUUGAUCGCCCUGAUGGAAUAGGGCGUCUAAGCACAAAGACUGACAAGUAGGCAAAUCCGCUUGUUGUAAAGGUUGAAGUGUUAAGGGGAGCGAAAUAUAGUAGCGAAGUCAAUGAAGCCAAACUCUCAAGAAAAGCCGCUAUCGAGAUAAGAGGUGCCCGUACCGCAAACCGACACAGGUAGUUGGGAAGAGAAUUCUAAGGUGAGCGAGAGAACCAUCGUUAAGGAACUCGGCAAAAUGACCCCGUAACUUCGGGAGAAGGGGUGCCUACGAGAGUAGGCCGCAGUGAAUAGGCCCAAGCGACUGUUUAUCAAAAACACAGGUCUCUGCAAAACCGAAAGGUGAAGUAUAGGGGCUGACGCCUGCCCGGUGCUGGAAGGUUAAGAGGAGUGCUUAGCGCAAGCGAAGGUAUGAAUUGAAGCCCCAGUAAACGGCGGCCGUAACUAUAACGGUCCUAAGGUAGCGAAAUUCCUUGUCGGGUAAGUUCCGACCCGCACGAAAGGCGUAACGAUUUGGGCACUGUCUCAACGAUGGACUCGGUGAAAUCAUAGUACCUGUGAAGAUGCAGGUUACCCGCGACAGGACGGAAAGACCCCAUGGAG
rnacentral:rRNA from 1 species